CCUACGGGAGGCAGCAGUGAGGAAUAUUGGUCAAUGGACGAGAGUCUGAACCAGCCAAGUAGCGUGCAGGAUGACGGCCCUAUGGGUUGUAAACUGCUUUUAUAAGGGAAUAAAGUGAGUCUCGUGAGACUUUUUGCAUGUACCUUAUGAAUAAGGACCGGCUAAUUCCGUGCCAGCAGCCGCGGUAAUACGGAAGGUCCGGGCGUUAUCCGGAUUUAUUGGGUUUAAAGGGAGCGUAGGCCGGAGAUUAAGCGUGUUGUGAAAUGUAGAUGCUCAACAUCUGCACUGCAGCGCGAACUGGUUUCCUUGAGUACGCACAAAGUGGGCGGAAUUCGUGGUGUAGCGGUGAAAUGCUUAGAUAUCACGAAGAACUCCGAUUGCGAAGGCAGCUCACUGGAGCGCAACUGACGCUGAAGCUCGAAAGUGCGGGUAUCGAACAGGAUUAGAUACCCUGGUAGUCCGCACGGUAAACGAUGGAUGCCCGCUGUUGGUCUGAAUAGGUCAGCGGCCAAGCGAAAGCAUUAAGCAUCCCACCUGGGGAGUACGCCGGCAACGGUGCAACUCAAAGGAAUUGACGGA
rnacentral:rRNA from 1 species